rnacentral:rRNA from 1 species
CCUACGGGUGGCAACAGUGGGGGAUAUUGCACAAUGGGGGGAACCCUGAUGCAGCGACGCCGCGUGGGUGAAGGAGUAUUUCGGUAUGUAAAGCCCUAUCGGCAGGGAAGAAUUUAGACGGUAGCUGACUAAGAAGCCCCGGCUAACUACGUGCCAGCAGCCGCGGUAAUACGUAGGGGGCAAGCGUUAUCCGGAUUUACUGGGUGUAAAGGGAGCGUAGACGGCAGUGCAAGUCUGGAGUGAAAGGCGGGGGCUCAACCCCCGGACUGCUCUGGAAACUGUGCGGCUGGAGUGCAGGAGAGGUAAGUGGAAUUCAUAGUGUAGCGGUGAAAUGCGUAGAUAUUAGGAGGAACACCAGUGGCGAAGGCGGCUUACUGGACUGUAACUGACGUUGAGGCUCGAAAGCGUGGGGAGCAAACAGGAUUAGAUACCCUAGUAGUC